AACCAACGGUGUUGAUAAACAUCAAAUUAAAAUUAAAAAAAGAAAUCCCUCAAAAAUCAGAAAUCUCACUCUCCAUAAACUCUAAUCUCCAUCUCUCCUUCUUCUCUCUCUCCCAAACCCAAACUCUCUUCUCCAUCGUCAGAUCUUCUCUCUCAAUAAAACAAUUCCACCAAUCGUUUCUCUCUCUUAAACUCGCGCCAAAUACAAAACGAUCUCCUCUUCUCCCUCUAACUAACAGCUCUCUUUCUCUCCCUCUCUUUCCUUCUCCCUCUAGGGAUUUUGGUGAUAUGGCUGAGAACCCAACAAGUCCAGCAGGAGGGAGCCAUGAGAGCGGUGGUGAGCAGAGCCCGCACUCUGGAGUGAGGGAACAGGAUAGGUACCUGCCUAUUGCCAACAUAAGCAGGAUCAUGAAGAAGGCUUUGCCUGCCAAUGGAAAAAUUGCUAAAGAUGCUAAGGAUACUGUGCAGGAAUGUGUCUCUGAAUUUAUUAGCUUUAUUACCAGCGAGGCGAGUGAUAAGUGUCAGAAGGAGAAAAGAAAGACAAUCAAUGGAGAUGAUUUGUUGUGGGCGAUGGCAACUCUAGGCUUUGAGGACUAUAUUGAACCACUUAAGGUGUACCUUGCUAGGUACAGGGAGAUGGAGGGUGACACUAAGGGAUCUGCUAGGGGUGGAGAUGGAUCUGCUAAGAGGGAUCCAAUUGGAGGUCUGCCUGGUCAAAAUCCACAGUGUGACAGUUUGCUCUUCAGGGGUCAAUGAACUAUAUUAGUUCCCAGGUGGUAUAGAUAGAAAGGGGAAAGCUAGAUUUGCAUGCAAUUCUGUAGUUGAUGUUUUCCAUUUCUGGCUGCAAUGGUUACUUUGGUGUCUAGCUAUAUUUCUUAGUUAUUUUUCCACAUCCAUUCAACUUCAUCCUUGCUGGAAGUCCAUUUUGGAGAGUGGGAGGAAACACUUCCUCAAAAGAUGAGAUAUGGCACAGGGACAGCAUAUGAUUGUUCCUUCAAUGCAAGGCAACGAGUAGAGAGUAAUAGUUUCUCAUUUAUGGAAUUUUAGGCUCAUAAAACUGUUUAGUUUCAAUGCCUAUAGCAAGCAUCUUUAGUAUUUGUUCAUCUGAUUGGAAUCAAAGUGCCUAUGUAUUCUUUGGGCUUUGGUUUUGGUGGUUGUUGCAGCCCUCAUCAGCAGAACAGUUUUAAUAGUGCUGUAAAUUUGAUUAUUUUAUCUAGUACAUAAUCUCCUGACUAUUUAAAGAGACUUAUUUUGUUGGAGCUUGAGUUAGAAACCCUAAUGAUUAUUGAAUUUCAUUUCUUUUUCC